UCAGAUUCACUCCUUGGAAUGACAAGUUGCAAAACUCGUGGUUUGGCUAAACGCUGAAUAAAUCAUAGAACAAGUUACAGACCUGUACUUGCCCAGGCAGGACCUUUAAACAGCUACUUCUAAGACCACUCUGCAACAGACUCCAUCUGUAAUUUAAAGCACAUGAGUAAUCCUGCUGAAAACAAUUAUCCAUACUCCUAAGCUUAUAUACCGUUAUACAGCAAAUCUAUCACCUUCUUUGAAGUCACUGAAAUUAUAACACCCUUGUAAUUUAACCUGCUUAUUUGUCAUGCAAACGGAUAAAUUAUACUACUGUAAAACUGAGAUGCAUCUACAGAAAGUGGCAGCUCUCCAGAGUGACUCUUCUGCUUAAGUGAGUUUUCAGAUAGCCAACUUGUCACAUUUGGAGCAAAGGUGUUCAAGAGUCUAGAGGUUAAUGAGCAAAACAACAGCUGACUUCACUAAAGAGUUUAAUUCAACUAUGUGAACAAACUGUUUUCAACCUAGAAGAUCCGUUUGGAGCUGGUUUGUGCUGGAAUGUCACCCACGCAAAUCUUGAAAGGAACAUUAAGUGACAAUACACCAAAAAUGACAGAGCUCAUGUUGGAACAAAAUCUCUGUGAUUGAAAAAAAAACCCGCUUAAAGGAAGAAACAUUUAAAUUCCAGUUUCUAAUUUAGCUAUUGCCUAAUUAAAUAUAAAAACGUGAUGUAUUUCAACCUUUUUACAAGCAUUCUCACACAGUCUACAUUUCUUGUCACUGCACUGGUUUUCUUUGUGCUUCUCCCUAUUGUUUAGCUCUUACCUCAGGCCUUGUUCCAGGACUGGGUGUUAAUUCUCCGGGCUGUCUCUGUAUUGCAGACCAACUGGCAAUUUAAGGUUAGGACUUCGUGUCUUAAAAAAAAAAAAAGUUAAUGUUUAUAUAAACAGUCGACUCAGAUCUCUGCAGCCCCAGGGCACUCAUGCAAGUCCUUCCUUCCCCAGAACCCAACCCAGUUUCCUUCUGUUGGCUGAAAUUAGUAAUAAUGAAUGGAUAAAUAAGCAAAAAAUAAAAUAAAAAUAAAAAAUAACAGAUCAUUCUGCUUAAGGCUGCAACUCCACUUGAAACGCCUUCCUCUCUAGCGCCAUCAUUUUCUCUCAGCAAUGAAUGUCUUAAACAUGUGCAGGGGAAAACCUCAUUGUGGAAGAUGUUCAAAAUGUAGACUGGGAAAGAAGAAUUUUCUCCACAAUGUGCACUUUAUGCAGACAGAGAUGCAUACCCCCAGAGCCUAAUCUUUCUGCUAUUAGAAAAGUCAUUGCUCUUGCUGCUGAAUUGCUACAUAAACAGUGCCUAUGGCUCAAGGGGCACCCUCAGGCUCCCCACAUGCCAAACAAAGGAAGACUAAUUUUCUGCCUGUAGAAACAGGAGUGCUGGGGCAUAGAGUCCCUGGAUGGAACGAUCUACUUAUAGCCACAUUGCAUUAAGGAGGAUUCUGUCUUAAGGAGGAUUCUUCUUUGUAGUAGAAAAACAGAAUAAGGUGCAGGUAGAAUACUCCUGGUGCUCCCUAUUGCUCAGGAAUGCUGCAGAGAAAUAAAAAAGAAUGUAAACAGAACAAAACAAAGCAGAAACAGAGAGUAGGCUCCCAUCUAUCUUUGAUGAAGCCAAUGGUAAAGAGUCUUCUUGCUUACCUUUGUUAAUGUUUUUCUCUAAAGGUAAACACAGAGAAACCAAAAAAGGCAAAUGGAUGGGAAAUACAUUGGCAAGUUUGAAAAACAUAUAAUAUUGAAUUUGGUAAGAUGCCAGAGGUGCUGACUGCUGAAGUGCAGGGAUUUUGGUAGACAAAGAUGUGUGUAAGGCGUGGGGUUGGUUAAAGGUUGAAAUAUGUAUAGUUGCCAAAACCGUGCUUUCCAUCUGCCAAGAAAAGUAAUUGUACUGAUAAAUAAAUGU
rnacentral:lncRNA from 7 species